rnacentral:misc_RNA from 1 species
UCAAACUUGGUCAUUUAGAGGAAGUAAAAGUCGUAACAAGGUUUCCGUAGGUAAGUUGGAAGCUUUUUCUCUAUCCUUUGUAUGCUUGAAUAAAAUGCUGACUUUUCUCUCUUAGGUGAACCUGCGGAAGGAUCAUUACCGAGUGUAACCCCCCAGUAAAAAAGGGGGUACCUCCCGUCCUCUGCUAGGCCUCCCUCCCCAAAGUUUUUUGGGUUAGGGAAGCUCUUUCAAACCUUCUGCUUCGGUGGGGUUACUCCCACCGGAACAACCUCAAAAAUUCUUAUUACAACUGUUCUGUCCGAGAAAAAUUUAUAAAAAUGCGAAAACUUUCAACAACGGAUCUCUUGGUUCUGGCAUCGAUGAAGAACGCAGC